UUUGGUUAAGUUAGAAAGGGCGCACGGUGGAUGCCUUGACACUAGGAGUCGAUGAAGGACGGGACUAACGCCGAUAUGCUUCGGGGAGCUGUAAGUAAGCUUUGAUCCGAAGAUUUCCGAAUGGGGAAACCCACCAUACGUAAUGGUAUGGUAUCCUUAUCUGAAUACAUAGGGUAAGGAAGACAGACCCAGGGAACUGAAACAUCUAAGUACCUGGAGGAAGAGAAAGCAAAUGCGAUUUCCUGAGUAGCGGCGAGCGAAACGGAACAUAGCCCAAACCAAGAGGCUUGCCUCUUGGGGUUGUAGGACAUUCUAUACGGAGUUACAAAGGAACGAGGUAGACGAAGCGACCUGGAAAGGUCCGUCGUAGAGGGUAACAACCCCGUAGUCGAAACUUCGUUCUCUCUUGAAUGUAUCCUGAGUACGGCGGAACACGUGAAAUUCCGUCGGAAUCUGGGAGGACCAUCUCCCAAGGCUAAAUACUCCCUAGUGAUCGAUAGUGAACCAGUACCGUGAGGGAAAGGUGAAAAGCACCCCGGAAGGGGAGUGAAAGAGAUCCUGAAACCGUGUGCCUACAAAUAGUCAGAGCCCGUUAACGGGUGAUGGCGUGCCUUUUGUAGAAUGAACCGGCGAGUUACGAUCCCGUGCGAGGUUAAGCUGAAGAGGCGGAGCCGCAGCGAAAGCGAGUCUGAAUAGGGCGUUUAGUACGUGGUCGUAGACCCGAAACCAGGUGAUCUACCCAUGUCCAGGGUGAAGUUCAGGUAACACUGAAUGGAGGCCCGAACCCACGCACGUUGAAAAGUGCGGGGAUGAGGUGUGGGUAGCGGAGAAAUUCCAAUCGAACCUGGAGAUAGCUGGUUCUCCCCGAAAUAGCUUUAGGGCUAGCCUUAAGUGUAAGAGUCUUGGAGGUAGAGCACUGAUUGGACUAGGGGUCCUCAUCGGAUUACCGAAUUCAGUCAAACUCCGAAUGCCAAUGACUUAUCCUUAGGAGUCAGACUGCGAGUGAUAAGAUCCGUAGUCAAAAGGGAAACAGCCCAGACCGCCAGCUAAGGUCCCAAAGUGUGUAUUAAGUGGAAAAGGAUGUGGAGUUGCUUAGACAACUAGGAUGUUGGCUUAGAAGCAGCCACCAUUUAAAGAGUGCGUAAUAGCUCACUAGUCGAGUGACUCUGCGCCGAAAAUGUACCGGGGCUAAAUACACCACCGAAGCUGCGGAUUGAUACCAAUGGUAUCAGUGGUAGGGGAGCGUUCUAAGGACAGUGAAGUCAGACCGGAAGGACUGGUGGAGUGCUUAGAAGUGAGAAUGCCGGUAUGAGUAGCGAAAGACGGGUGAGAAUCCCGUCCACCGAAUGCCUAAGGUUUCCUGAGGAAGGCUCGUCCGCUCAGGGUUAGUCAGGACCUAAGCCGAGGCCGACAGGCGUAGGCGAUGGACAACAGGUUGAUAUUCCUGUACCACCUCUUUAUCGUUUGAGCAAUGGAGGGACGCAGAAGGAUAGAAGAAGCGUGCGAUUGGUUGUGCACGUCCAAGCAGUUAGGCUGAUAAGUAGGCAAAUCCGCUUAUCGUGAAGGCUGAGCUGUGAUGGGGAAGCUCCUUAUGGAGCGAAGUCUUUGAUUCCCCGCUGCCAAGAAAAGCUUCUAGCGAGAUAAAAGGUGCCUGUACCGCAAACCGACACAGGUAGGCGAGGAGAGAAUCCUAAGGUGUGCGAGAGAACUCUGGUUAAGGAACUCGGCAAAAUGACCCCGUAACUUCGGGAGAAGGGGUGCUUUCUUAACGGAAAGCCGCAGUGAAUAGGCCCAAGCGACUGUUUAGCAAAAACACAGCUCUCUGCGAAGCCGUAAGGCGAAGUAUAGGGGGUGACACCUGCCCGGUGCUGGAAGGUUAAGGAGAGGGGUUAGCGUAAGCGAAGCUCUGAACUGAAGCCCCAGUAAACGGCGGCCGUAACUAUAACGGUCCUAAGGUAGCGAAAUUCCUUGUCGGGUAAGUUCCGACCCGCACGAAAGGUGUAACGAUUUGGGCACUGUCUCAACCAGAGACUCGGUGAAAUUAUAGUACCUGUGAAGAUGCAGGUUACCCGCGACAGGACGGAAAGACCCCGUGGAGCUUUACUGUAGCCUGAUAUUGAAUUUUGGUACAGUUUGUACAGGAUAGGCGGGAGCCUUUGAAACCGGAGCGCUAGCUUCGGUGGAGGCGCUGGUGGGAUACCGCCCUGACUGUAUUGAAAUUCUAACCUACGGGUCUUAUCGACCCGGGAGACAGUGUCAGGUGGGCAGUUUGACUGGGGCGGUCGCCUCCUAAAGUGUAACGGAGGCGCCCAAAGGUUCCCUCAGAAUGGUUGGAAAUCAUUCGUAGAGUGCAAAGGCAUAAGGGAGCUUGACUGCGAGACCUACAAGUCGAGCAGGGACGAAAGUCGGGCUUAGUGAUCCGGUGGUUCCGCAUGGAAGGGCCAUCGCUCAACGGAUAAAAGCUACCCCGGGGAUAACAGGCUUAUCUCCCCCAAGAGUCCACAUCGACGGGGAGGUUUGGCACCUCGAUGUCGGCUCAUCGCAUCCUGGGGCUGUAGUCGGUCCCAAGGGUUGGGCUGUUCGCCCAUUAAAGCGGUACGCGAGCUGGGUUCAGAACGUCGUGAGACAGUUCGGUCCCUAUCCGUCGUGGGCGUAGGAAAUUUGAGAGGAGCUGUCCUUAGUACGAGAGGACCGGGAUGGACGCACCGCUGGUGUACCAGUUGUUCUGCCAAGGGCAUAGCUGGGUAGCUAUGUGCGGAAGGGAUAAGUGCUGAAAGCAUCUAAGCAUGAAGCCCACCUCAAGAUGAGAUUUCCCAUAGCGUAAGCUAGUAAGAUCCCUGAAAGAUGAUCAGGUUGAUAGGUUCGAGGUGGAAGCAUGGUGACAUGUGGAGCUGACGAAUACUAAUAGAUCGAGGACUUAACCAUAUAA
rnacentral:rRNA from 2 species